rnacentral:lncRNA from 1 species
GAAAAUUCAAACUUACCUGAGCAAAAAACGAAAUUUAUUUCAUGUCUCUGACUUCAGACACAGUUGACCCCAGAACCCUGUCUCUUGUCUAUCUGCUCUGCCCUCCUCUGGGUAGGCAUUAAACUUAGGGAAGUACUUCCUUCUGGGGCAAGAUGGCUGUUAGUAGCCCCAGGUUCAUACUCCCAUCACUCCAGUUUCAGUGCAAGGUGAGUACCUGUCCUCUGAGCAACAGUUCCACAAAGUCCUUGGCCUGACUGCCAUUGGCCCAAGUGGAGCUCUGGGACCUUUGCUGAUUCAGUCUCUGGGCUGGUGGAUGGAAUGCACUGAUUGACUUUGGCCUGUGGCUCACGCCCCUCCCUAUAGCUGGGAGAAGUGUCAGCUUCACCAAACCACAGGAAUGAAGGCAGGGAGGAGGCGGUUGUCCAAAGGAAGAUCUAGAAAAAGAGUGCCGUACAAGCAAGAGCAACAAACGUCCAUUACAGUAGUUCUGGAGGCCAAAAGUCCCAGAUCAAGGUCAUAUGGAGCUGGUUCCAGGUGGUUUCCUGAGAAGCUAAGGGAAGAGAAGACUUAGACAUUACUAGAACCCAUUCCUCAAGACACUGUAUUCAGACAGAGGACUGGGGAAGUGUUAGAGGAAGAUUACGACACUGCUACUCCAUGCCAAAACGUUACACUACGGCUCUGCAGACUGAAGAUUGCCUCACAAGCAGAAAUAUACUCUUUCCAACAAACACUGGUGGAAUGAAAAGGACAUUGGAUUCCUGCUUCCAGUUACUGCUUGCCCUUCCCUGACUUUGUGACCUGAGGUGAUUGCAUCCUUUGAAAGCCUGUUUGCAUAGCAGACAAUGAAGCUGAGCAGAGAAAAACAAGAUGAGAGACAGAUGGAGUAGGAGACCUGAGAAGAUGGCUUGAGUCCAUGAAUUCUGGUGUUCCCUAGGCCACAUUUGCCCCCAUCCUUCCCAGAUUUUACUUUCUACUCUUGUCAGUCAUAUCUGCAAGGCUGACAGUUACCAGGGGCUGUGGCCAGGCAUGAGGGAGAAUGUGUCAUUGCUGGCUGCGUUGGUCAUAGCAACGUGUCUGCCUCAGAACAGAUCCAGCAUGGAUGAGCAAACAGAAAAAUGUGUAAGAAGGCUUGUGACUGAAACAGACCAAGGGUUAGACUUCUCCUAUGGAGAAUGCAGCAAGAAAAUACCAUCUUGAAGCAGAGAGCAGCGCUCAUCAGGCAUCAGUCCUUCUGGAGCCUUGAUCUUGGACCUCCCAGCUCCAAAAUAAUAAGUAAUAAAUUGUUAUUGCUUAUAAAUU